GGCGUAAAGCGCGCGCAGGCGGUCCUUUAAGUCUGAUGUGAAAUCUCGUGGCUCAACCACGAGCGGCCAUUGGAAACUGGGGGACUUGAGUACAGAAGAGGAGAGUGGAAUUCCAUGUGUAGCGGUGAAAUGCGUAGAUAUAUGGAGGAACACCAGUGGCGAAGGCGACUCUCUGGUCUGUAACUGACGCUGAGGCGCGAAAGCGUGGGGAGCAAACAGGAUUAGAUACCCUGGUAGUCCACGCCGUAAACGAUGAGUGCUAGGUGUUAGGGGUUUCGAUGCCCUUAGUGCCGAAGUUAACACAUUAAGCACUCCGCCUGGGGAGUACGACCGCAAGGUUGAAACUCAAAGGAAUUGACGGGGGCCCGCACAAGCAGUGGAGCAUGUGGUUUAAUUCGAAGCAACGCGAAGAACCUUACCAGGUCUUGACAUCCUUUGACCACCCUAGAGAUAGGGCUUUCCCCUUCGGGGGACAAAGUGACAGGUGGUGCAUGGUUGUCGUCAGCUCGUGUCGUGAGAUGUUGGGUUAAGUCCCGCAACGAGCGCAACCCUUGAUCUUAGUUGCCAGCAUUCAGUUGGGCACUCUAAGGUGACUGCCGGUGAUAAACCGGAGGAAGGUGGGGAUGACGUCAAAUCAUCAUGCCCCUUAUGACCUGGGCUACACACGUGCUACAAUGGAUGGUACAAAGGGUCGCAAAACCGCGAGGUCGAGCCAAUCCCAUAAAGCCAUUCUCAGUUCGGAUUGCAGGCUGCAACUCGCCUGCAUGAAGCCGGAAUUGCUAGUAAUCGUGGAUCAGCAUGCCACGGUGAAUACGUUCCCGGGC
rnacentral:rRNA from 1 species